rnacentral:rRNA from 1 species
CACGUAGGCGGAUCAGAAAGUCAGAGGUGAAAUCCCAGGGCUCAACCUUGGAACUGCCUUUGAAACUCCUGGUCUUGAGGUCGAGAGAGGUGAGUGGAAUUCCGAGUGUAGAGGUGAAAUUCGUAGAUAUUAGGAGGAACACCAGUUGCGAAGGCGGCUCUCUGGACUGUAACUGACACUGAGGCACGAAAGCGUGGGGAGCAAACA